UAUAUCUGGUGUAACACUAUUCAC
rnacentral:siRNA from 1 species